CGAUCUAUAUGAAGCUUAUUAUUUAUUAUUUAUUCUUAGAAAAAUUUAUGAACCAGAUCGAUCGAAAUAAUAAUAACAAAUGAUAUUCAUCUGUACAUGUAAAUACGUACUUAUUUAUAAUUUUUCUUCCUAAACGACUGUGUUAACAGUGUCUCACAAGAUCGCGGCGAUGGGAGAAACUAUUAAAAGUUUUCAUAAAACUAAAAUACGGAAUUAACACGAAAUAAAAAUGUCUGAAGAGCACUGAAAGUAUCUUUCCUUGACUACCGUGAGCGUGCUUGAUUGAUCCACAUGGACGUAACGAGAUGACCGGAAUGCUCACAUUGUUUAAACACAUAUGUAAUAUAAGCAAGAACGAGCAUGGAUUCCUAGCAAUGCCACGGGACCAGGAUUAAGCAAAAGUAAAUAUUCAAUUAUAUCUAAAAUUACGUCCAAAUCAUUACGUUUGAUCGUUUAACGACGCGAAUGUAUCUAUAUAAGUGAAUUUACAUUUGUAUUUUCAUCUUCUUUUUCUAUUUAUCUUUAUACUCGUGAAUGUGUGAAUCAGAUUAAUUAACCCUAUACACACACACACACACACAUGUAGAGAUACACAUACAGAACAUGUGUUGAUAUGUUUUAAUUAUUACGAAUGUUUAAACGGAAAACCUCUCUAUAUGUAGGAUGUAUUUAGGGUUAAUAGAUGUAUAUAUAUGUAUAAGUAUAUAAGUGUGUAUAUGUGUGUAUAAUCAUAAAAAUACAUAUAUACAUGUGUGUGUGUACGUAUUAAUAUUGAUGUAUAACUAUAAUUUGCCUUUGUAUUCAUCUGUAUACAUGUAGAUAUUUAGAAAAAGUUAAAAUUAACCCCUUGCUUUCGAUGUCCUCUCGAACGUUCAGAGCUUCAAUUGAUUUAUUUAUAUUUGAUUUAGACGAAUUUGCAAACAUUGAAGAAAUAUUCUUUUGCAAAAAAAUCAAUAUUUUGUUCCUUAUAAUAUUCUCGGUAGUACGAUAAGUUUUGAAGGAAUUCGAUUACGUCAGUUUCAUUGAUAUCUUGUGUUACUUGUAAGAAUUUCUGUUUUUCUGAUGGGGAGCUCUGUGGGGACGUCUGGGUGCGAAGGGAUAAAGAAAGAUUAAAAAAUAAAUUAAAAUAAAAAGAAAAGGAAGAAAAAUUAUAAUUGAAAAAGAAAAAAAAAAGAAAUUAAUACCAAAAAGGAGAAAACGCAAAAAAUUAAAAAAGAAAUUAGAAUCGAAAAAAAGAUUAAAAUUCAAAAAAAGGAAAAAAGGUGGAAAAAGAAUUAGAAUAAUCAAAAAAGGAAAAUCAGAAAAAAGGAUUAAAAUGGAGAAAAGAAUUCAAGGAAAAAAAAAUGAAGAAGACAAAAAAGAAAAAUAUUACAAACAAAUGCGUAUUGGGAAAUUGUACGGAUAUAUUUCAUAUUUAUAUCGAGUGAUAUCUGUAUCUAAUUUCUGUGAGUCGUUGUAAUAACGAUGUCGCAAAUGUAAACCCAACUUUUAACCGAAUAUUUGUUAUUUCUUUAAUUAUUCACAAUAUUUGAAUAUUUUUAAUCGGCUGUACGAUUUGAUUUUAAUUUCAUUAGCUUGAUUAAAAAACUUGAUUGAGAAUGCGA